rnacentral:tRNA from 3 species
GGCUGCGUAGCUCAGUGGCAGAGCGAGGCUUUCAUAAGGCCGAGGUCGCAGGUUCAAAUCCUGCCGCAGCCA